rnacentral:rRNA from 1 species
UACGGGGGGGAGCAAGCGUUGUUCGGAUUUACUGGGCGUAAAGGGCGCGUAGGCGGUCAGCACAAGUCAGUUGUGAAAUCUCCGGGCUUAACUCGGAAAGGUCAACUGAUACUGUGCGACUAGAGUGCAGAAGGGGCAACUGGAAUUCUCGGUGUAGCGGUGAAAUGCGUAGAUAUCGUAAGGAAGACCAGUGGCGAAGGCGAGUUCCUGGACAGUUACUGACACUGAGGCACGAAGGCCAGGGGAGCAAACGGG